rnacentral:rRNA from 1 species
AUUGAACGCUGGCGGAAUGCUUUACACAUGCAAGUCGAACGGCAGCACGGACUUCGGUCUGGUGGCGAGUGGCGAACGGGUGAGUAAUACAUCGGAACGUGCCCAGUCGUGGGGGAUAACGUAGCGAAAGCUACGCUAAUACCGCAUACGAUCUAAGGAUGAAAGCGGGGGAUCGCAAGACCUAGCGCGAUUGGAGCGGCCGAUGGCAGGUUAGGUAGUUGGUAGGGUAAAGGCCUACCAAGCCGACGAUCUGUAGCUGGUCUGAGAGGACGACCGGCGACACUGGGACUGAGACACGGCCCAGCCUCCUACGGGAGGCAGCAGUGGGGAAUUUUGGACAAUGGACGCAAGUCUGAUCCAGCCAUUCCGCGUGCAGGAUGAAGGCCCUCGGGUUGUAAACUGCUUUUGUACAGAAAGAAAAAGCUCUGGUUAAUACCUGGAGCUCAUGACGGUACUGUAAGAAUAAGCACCGGCUAACUACGUGCCAGCAGCCGCAGUAA